rnacentral:rRNA from 1 species
GUGAGGAAUAUUGGUCAAUGGACGGAAGUCUGAACCAGCCAAGUAGCGUGCAGGAUGACGGCCCUAUGGGUUGUAAACUGCUUUUAUGCGGGGGUAAAGUGAGUGACGUGUCAUUCAUUGCAAGUACCGCAAGAAUAAGGACCGGCUAAUUCCGUGCCAGCAGCCGUGGUAAUACGGAAGGUCCUGGUGUUAUCCGGAUUUAUUGGGUUUAAAGGGAGCGUAGGCCGUCAGGCAAGCGUGUUGUGAAAUGUCGUGGCUCAACCAUGGACUUGCAGCGCGAACUGCCCGACUUGAGUGCGCGGAAAGCAGGCGGAAUUUGUGGUGUAGCGGUGAAAUGCUUAGAUAUCACGAAGAACCCCGAUUGCGAAGGCAGCCUGCUGUAGCGCUACUGACGCUGAAGCUCGAAAGUGCGGGUAUCGAACAGGAUUAGAAACCCCGGUAGUCC